rnacentral:rRNA from 1 species
CAGUCGCCGCGGUAAUACGUAGGGUGCGAGCGUUAAUCGGAAUUACUGGGCGUGAAGCGUGCGCAGGCGGUUCGGAAAGAAAGAUGUGAAAUCCCAGGGCUCAACCUUGGAACUGCACUUUUAACUACCGGACUAGAGUAUGUCAGAGGGAGGUGGAAUUCCACGUGUAGCAGUGAAAUGCGUAGAUAUGUGGAGGAACACCGAUGGCGAAGGCAGCCUCCUGGGCUAAUACUGACGCUCAUGCACGAAAGCGUGGGGAGCAAACAGGAUUAGAUACCCCUGUAGUCCCUGUCUCUUCACA